CAAGUAAUUAAGUGCAUGUGGUGGAUGCCUUGGCAGUCAGAGGCGAUGAAAGACGUGAUAGCCUGCGAAAAGCUCCGGGGAGGCGGCAAAUAUCCUUUGAUCCGGAGAUGUCUGAAUGGGGGAACCCACCUACUUUAAGGUAGGUAUUGCAACAUGAAUACAUAGUGUUGCAAGGCGAACGAGGGGAAGUGAAACAUCUCAGUACCCUUAGGAAAAGAAAUCAAUUGAGAUUCCCUCAGUAGCGGCGAGCGAACGGGGAUCAGCCCAUUAAGUUAUGUGUGUUUUAGUGGAACGCUCUGGGAAGUGCGAACGUAGAGGGUGAUAUUCCCGUACACGAAAGGGCACACAUAAUGAUGACGAGUAGGGCGAGGCACGUGAAACCUUGUCUGAAUAUGGGGGGACCAUCCUCCAAGGCUAAAUACUCCUGACUGACCGAUAGUGAACCAGUACCGUGAGGGAAAGGCGAAAAGAACCCCUGUGAGGGGAGUGAAAUAGAUCCUGAAACCGCAUGCAUACAAGCAGUGGGAGCACCUUCGUGGUGUGACUGCGUACCUUUUGUAUAAUGGGUCAGCGACUUAUAUUCAGUAGCGAGGUUAACCGUAUAGGGGAGCCGUAGAGAAAUCGAGUCUUAAUAGGGCGUUUAGUUGCUGGGUAUAGACCCGAAACCAGGCGAUCUAUCCAUGAGCAGGUUGAAGGUUGGGUAACACUAACUGGAGGACCGAACCCACUGUCGUUGAAAAGCCAGGGGAUGACUUGUGGAUAGGGGUGAAAGGCUAAUCAAGCCUGGUGAUAGCUGGUUCUCCCCGAAAGCUAUUUAGGUAGCGCCUCGGACGAAUACCAUAGGGGGUAGAGCACUGUUUCGGCUAGGGGGUCAUCCCGACUUACCAAACCGAUGCAAACUCCGAAUACCUAUGAGUACUAUCCGGGAGACAGACUGCGGGUGCUAACGUCCGUAGUCAAGAGGAAAACAAUCCAGACCGCCAGCUAAGGCCCCAAAAUCAUAGUUAAGUGGGAAACGAUGUGGGAAGGCAUAGACAGCUAGGAGGUUGGCUUAGAAGCAGCCACCCUUUAAAGAAAGCGUAAUAGCUCACUAGUCGAGUCGGCCUGCGCGGAAGAUGUAACGGGGCUAAAACUAUGUGCCGAAGCUGCGGAUGUAUACUUUGUAUACGUGGUAGGGGAGCGUUCUGUAAGCCGAUGAAGGUGUGUUGAGAAGCAUGCUGGAGGUAUCAGAAGUGCGAAUGCUGACGUGAGUAACGACAAAACGGGUGAAAAACCCGUUCGCCGAAAGACCAAGGGUUCCAGUCCAACGUUAAUCGGGGCUGGGUGAGUCGACCCCUAAGGCGAGGCCGAAAGGCGUAGUCGAUGGGAAAAUGGUUAAUAUUCCAUUACUUCUGUGUAAUGCGAUGAGAGGACGGAGAAGGCUAAAUCAGCCUGGCGUUGGUUGUCCAGGUGAAAGGAUGUAGGCAUGUAUCUUAGGCAAAUCCGGGGUACUCUAUGCUGAGAUCUGAUAGCAAGCUGUACUUGUACAGCGAAGUGGUUGAUGCCAUGCUUCCAGGAAAAGUCUCUAAGCUUCAGUUACACAGGAAUCGUACCCGAAACCGACACAGGUGGUCAGGUCGAGUAGACCAAGGCGCUUGAGAGAACUCUGCUGAAGGAACUAGGCAAAAUGGUACCGUAACUUCGGGAGAAGGUACGCUGUUGUUGGUGAUGGAACUCGCUUCCUGAGCUGACGACAGCCGCAGAAACCAGGCCGCUGCAACUGUUUAUUAAAAACAUAGCACUCUGCAAACACGAAAGUGGACGUAUAGGGUGUGAUGCCUGCCCGGUGCUGGAAGGUUAAUUGAUGGGGUUAGCGUAAGCGAAGCUCUUGAUCGAAGCCCCAGUAAACGGCGGCCGUAACUAUAACGGUCCUAAGGUAGCGAAAUUCCUUGUCGGGUAAGUUCCGACCUGCACGAAUGGCAUAAUGAUGGCGGCGCUGUCUCCAGCAGAGGCUCAGUGAAAUCGAAAUCGCUGUGAAGAUGCAGUGUACCCGCGGCUAGACGGAAAGACCCCGUGAACCUUUACUGCAGCUUGACACUGAACUUUGACCUUACUUGUGUAGGAUAGGUGGGAGGCUUUGAAGCUGGAACGCUAGUUCCAGUGGAGCCGUCCUUGAAAUACCACCCUGGUAAUGUUGAGGUUCUAACUCUGUCCCGUGAUCCGGGACGAGGACCGUGUCUGGUGGGUAGUUUGACUGGGGCGGUCUCCUCCUAAAGAGUAACGGAGGAGUACGAAGGUGCGCUCAGCGUGGUCGGAAAUCACGCGUAGAGUAUAAAGGCAAAAGCGCGCUUAACUGCGAGACCCACAAGUCGAGCAGGUACGAAAGUAGGUCUUAGUGAUCCGGUGGUUCUGUAUGGAAGGGCCAUCGCUCAACGGAUAAAAGGUACUCUGGGGAUAACAGGCUGAUACCGCCCAAGAGUUCAUAUCGACGGCGGUGUUUGGCACCUCGAUGUCGGCUCAUCUCAUCCUGGGGCUGAAGCAGGUCCCAAGGGUAUGGCUGUUCGCCAUUUAAAUAGGUACGCGAGCUGGGUUUAGAACGUCGUGAGACAGUUCGGUCCCUAUCUACCGUGGGCGCUGGAAAUUUGAGAGGAUCUGCUCCUAGUACGAGAGGACCAGAGUGGACGAACCUCUGGUGUACCGGUUGUGACGCCAGUCGCAUCGCCGGGUAGCUAUGUUCGGAAGGGAUAACCGCUGAAAGCAUCUAAGCGGGAAGCCUACCUCAAGAUAAGAUUUCCCUAGGACUUUAUGUCCUCUAAAGAGCCGUUCGAGACUAGGACGUUGAUAGGUUGGAUGUGGAAGCAUAGUGAUAUGUGAAGCUGACCAAUACUAAUUGCUCGUGAGGCUUGACUA
rnacentral:rRNA from 1 species